rnacentral:rRNA from 1 species
GUCGAGNGGANUGAUGGGAGCUUGNUCCCUGAUGUCAGCGGCGGACGGGUGAGUAACACGUGGGCAACCUGUCUGUAAGACUGGGAUAANUCCGGGAAACCGGGGCUAAUACCGGAUAACCCGUUCCACCUCAUGGUGGAGCGGUAAAAGAUGGCCUCUGGCUAUCACUUACAGAUGGGCCCGCGGCGCNNNGCUAGUUGGUAAGGUAACGGCUUACCAAGGCGACGAUGCGUAGCCGACCUGAGAGGGUGAUCGGCCACACUGGGACUGAGACACGGCCCAGACUCCUACGGGAGGCAGCAGUAGGGAAUCUUCCGCAAUGGACGAAAGUCUGACGGAGCAACGCCGCGUGAGUGAUGAAGGUUUUCGGAUCGUAAAGCUCUGUUGUUAGGGAAGAACAAGUGCCGUUCGAAUAGGUCGGCACCUUGACGGUACCUAACCAGAAAGCCACGGCUAACUACGUGCCAGCAGCCGCGGUAAUACGUAGGUGGCAAGCGUUGUCCGGAAUUAUUGGGCGUAAAGCGCGCGCAGGCGGUCUUUUAAGUCUGAUGUGAAAGCCCACGGCUCAACCGUGGAGGGUCAUUGGAAACUGGGAGACUUGAGUACAGAAGAGGAGAGUGGAAUUCCACGUGUAGCGGUGAAAUGCGUAGAUAUGUGGAGGAACACCAGUGGCGAAGGCGACUCUCUGGUCUGUAACUGACGCUGAGACGCGAAAGCGUGGGGAGCAAACAGGAUUAGAUACCCUGGUAGUCCACGCCGUAAACGAUGAGUGCUAGGUGUUAGGGGUUUCGAUGCCCUUAGUGCCGAAGUUAACACAUUAAGCACUCCGCCUGGGGAGUACGACCGCAAGGUUGAAACUCAAAGGAAUUGACGGGGGCCCGCACAAGCAGUGGAGCAUGUGGUUUAAUUCGAAGCAACGCGAAGAACCUUACCAGGUCUUGACAUCCUUUGACCACUCUAGAGAUAGAGCUUUCCCCU